UGGGGAAUAUUGGACAAUGGGCGCAAGCCUGAUCCAGCCAUGCCGCGUGAGUGAUGACGGCCUUAGGGUUGUAAAGCUCUUUUACCUGGGAAGAUAAUGACGGUACCAGGAGAAUAAGCCCCGGCUAACUUCGUGCCAGCAGCCGCGGUAAUACGAAGGGGGCUAGCGUUGUUCGGAAUCACUGGGCGUAAAGCGCACGUAGGCGGAUCUUUAAGUCAGAGGUGAAAUCCCGGAGCUCAACUCCGGAACUGCCUUUGAUACUGGAGAUCUUGAGUCCGGAAGAGGUAAGUGGAACUGCGAGUGUAGAGGUGAAAUUCGUAGAUAUUCGCAAGAACACCAGUGGCGAAGGCGGCUUACUGGUCCGGUACUGACGCUGAGGUGCGAAAGCGUGGGGAGCAAACAGGAUUAGAUACCCCCGUAGUCC
rnacentral:rRNA from 1 species